rnacentral:rRNA from 1 species
UCUCGAGUGGCGACGGGUGAGUAACACGUGGGUGAUCUGCCCUGCACUUUGGGAUAAGCCUGGGAAACUGGGUCUAAUACCGAAUAGGACUCCGGACUGCAUGGUCUGGGGUGGAAAGCUUUUGCGGUGUGGGAUGGGCCCGCGGCCUAUCAGCUUGUUGGUGGGGUGAUGGCCUACCAAGGCGACGACGGGUAGCCGGCCUGAGAGGGUGUCCGGCCACACUGGGACUGAGAUACGGCCCAGACUCCUACGGGAGGCAGCAGUGGGGAAUAUUGCACAAUGGGCGCAAGCCUGAUGCAGCGACGCCGCGUGAGGGAUGACGGCCUUCGGGUUGUAAACCUCUUUCGCCAGGGACGAAGCGCAAGUGACGGUACCUGGAGAAGAAGCACCGGCCAACUACGUGCCAGCAGCCGCGGUAAUACGUAGGGUGCGAGCGUUGUCCGGAAUUACUGGGCGUAAAGAGCUCGUAGGUGGUUUGUCGCGUUGUUCGUGAAAACUCACAGCUUAACUGUGGGCGUGCGGGCGAUACGGGCAGACUGGAGUACUGCAGGGGAGACUGGAAUUCCUGGUGUAGCGGUGGAAUGCGCAGAUAUCAGGAGGAACACCGGUGGCGAAGGCGGGUCUCUGGGCAGUAACUGACGCUGAGGAGCGAAAGCGUGGGGAGCGAACAGGAUUAGAUACCCUGGUAGUCCACGCCGUAAACGGUGGGUACUAGGUGUGGGUUUCCUUCCUUGGGAUCCGUGCCGUAGCUAACGCAUUAAGUACCCCGCCUGGGGAGUACGGCCGCAAGGCUAAAACUCAAAGGAAUUGACGGGGGCCCGCACAAGCGGCGGAGCAUGUGGAUUAAUUCGAUGCAACGCGAAGAACCUUACCUGGGUUUGACAUGCACAGGACGCCGGCAGAGAUGUCGGUUCCCUUGUGGCCUGUGUGCAGGUGGUGCAUGGCUGUCGUCAGCUCGUGUCGUGAGAUGUUGGGUUAAGUCCCGCAACGAGCGCAACCCUUGUCUCAUGUUGCCAGCACGUUAUGGUGGGGACUCGUGAGAGACUGCCGGGGUCAACUCGGAGGAAGGUGGGGAUGACGUCAAGUCAUCAUGCCCCUUAUGUCCAGGGCUUCACACAUGCUACAAUGGCCGGUACAAAGGGCUGCGAUGCCGUGAGGUGGAGCGAAUCCUUUCAAAGCCGGUCUCAGUUCGGAUCGGGGUCUGCAACUCGACCCCGUGAAGUCGGAGUCGCUAGUAAUCGCAGAUCAGCAACGCUGCGGUGAAUACGUUCCCGGGCCUUGUACACACCGCCCGUCACGUCAUGAAAGUCGGUAACACCCGAAGCCGGUGGCCUAACCCUUGUGGAGGGAGCCGUCGAAAGUGGGAUCGGCGAUUGGAC